UUUACCCUACUGAUGCCCGCGU
rnacentral:siRNA from 1 species